rnacentral:rRNA from 1 species
AGUGAACGCUGGCGGUAGGCCUAACACAUGCAAGUCGAACGGCAGCACAGUAAGAGCUUGCUCUUACGGGUGGCGAGUGGCGGACGGGUGAGGCAUACAUCGGAAUCUACUUUUUCGUGGGGGAUAACGUAGGGAAACUUACGCUAAUACCGCGUACGACCUACGGGUGAAAGCAGGGGAUCUUCGGACCUUGCGCGACUGAAUGAGCCGAUGUCGGAUUAGCUAGUUGGCGGGGUAAAGGCCCACCAAGGCGACGAUCCGUAGCUGGUCUGAGAGGAUGAUCAGCCACACUGGAACUGAGACACGGUCCAGACUCCUACGGGAGGCAGCAGUGGGGAAUAUUGGACAAUGGGCGCAAGCCUGAUCCAGCCAUACCGCGUGGGUGAAGAAGGCCUUCGGGUUGUAAAGCCCUUUUGUUGGGAAAGAAAAGCAGCAGGUUAAUACCCCGCUGUUCUGACGGUACCCAAAGAAUAAGCACCGGCUAACUUCGUG